AUCCAGAUGAAGAGUCUUAAAUAGGACGAAACGUGUGUCCUGGAU
rfam:Schistosoma haematobium scaffold519_21, whole genome shotgun sequence.